AAAAAUAGGCCGAUAUUCACAGUUUAUAAGAAGCAGAAUAUGAUUCAGGCUGCAUUCUGAUGUGGACACAGCCAGAGAGUCUUCUGUUAGCCUUUUACUAUGAUCGCCGAAAGUUCUAUUUGGUAACAAGACAAGCAUAAAAUGAAGAAUAAAGGUGGAGAAAACCAGAUCUGGAUGGAGGAGCAGAGUUUCUGUCCACACAGCUUUGGGAGAAAAAUACAGUAUUGUCAAAAGGAGCUCCCUUAAGGCUUAACGUGCCUUGUGAAUAACAUAUCUCAUAGGACAUAUCUUAUCAAGGGAUUCUGACACAAACAUGUCAAUACAACAAGUGGUGCAAAUAAAUAAUGUUUCUGUAACAUAUCAAUUCACUACCCCAGGACUUGUAAACCGAACGUACAUCAUGUAUCAUGGCACCACCCGGGCAAAUGCUCAGAGCAUCGCUUCCACAGGUUUCCGUCAAUCUGCAGAUGGCAUGCUUGGUCCUGGGGUCUACCUCACCAGAAGCCUGGAGAAAGCAAGACGCUAUCCUAUUAAUCAUCCUGAGUGGGACAAGGUUGUUAUCCAGGUCCAGGUCAAUGUGGGGAGAGUGAAAGCCAUCAGACGCAAAAAUCACCCUUUGCAGAAAACCUGGCAUCAACAUGGAUAUGACACUGCCUGGGUGCCACCCCGUUGUGGGAUGGUGCGAAGUGGUGACGAGGAGGACUGUGUCUGGGAUCCUCGUCGAAUCCAGAUCCUUCAGUACAUUUACCCCACUGCUGUUCCCACGCCUACAUAUGUUCAAAUGUAAAUACAAGCAGUGAUUGGCUCUUUUUUUUAAAUCAUAUGUAUUGAUAUACUCGGAUUAAAUUUAAUUUUGUCAUCUUGACCUGACCCUUUAAAGUUCCAACUAAUCUUAAAUUUAAAUUUGUCAGUCUGGGACAUCACUAAUCAUUAAGACCAAAAAGUGUAGUUCAGAGAUAAUUUAAAGAAUGUAAAAUACAAUAUAAUAAGAAAUAUAUGAAAACAUAGAUUUAAAGCUAUAAAACUGGAAUCUUCUUGAUUUGGUUCAGCCUUGGUAAUAUACAUCCUUUAAUCCCUAACCCUUUGAAUUCUCAGUUUUUUAGUGGGAUUAAGUUUGAAACAAAAAAAAGAAAAAAAGAAAAAUCAAAAUCAUAUCUGUUGUUGCCAACAGAGAAUUACGACAGGGAUCAUUUACAUAUGGGCAAAUAAGGGUUGUAAAUUUGUUUAAAAUAGGCCCAGGAAAUUAUGUUUUAUCUACAAGGAGUGUGUUGAUUUCCUGUGUUAAUUAAAAUUGAGCUCCAUUACAAGGAG